GAAGCUCCGGCCCAAGAUGGAUGUGGGUUAGAAUCUUCCUGUCCAGUGGUAUGGACUAUGACAAGAACGAGAUGGCCUCUGAGGGUGAAGGGCAGGUUGUUCCAGCUCUCCUCUCCUGCAACCAGGAAAUAUGUGACCGAUGACCUCUGCAGACUGGCAUGGGAAUGAACUCUAAUCCAUAAUCUCCUGGGUUUACUGCUUCAACAAGUGGAGACUCCAAGCCAAACAGCUGAAAGACUGGGGGUUGGAAGAGGAAGAAGUACAUCAGCAAGAUCGAAGCCCGGGACCCGUGGUCUGAGUCAUUGACUUCAGCUGUCCAUCGGCUGGCACUGCCCAUCUGCCUGGAGCCUCUCCUUCUGGUACCCGCUGAUAAUGGACCUUCCGGGCCCUCCACAGUGACCUCAUUUCCUCCAUCUCCCUCAUUCCUCCAUUAGAGUUUUCUUCCUCCUUAAUCAUUUUAAAAUGGAGUUAUGUUAUGUGUAAGGGUGUUUUGUCUAUAUGCAUGUCUGUGCAUCAUGUAUGUGCCUGGUGCUAACAGAGGCCAGGAAAGGGUGUCAGGUCCCCUGGGACUAGAGUUAUAGGCAGUGGUUGUGAACCAAGUGAGUA